UUAUAACUGUUUAUUACUAUACAGGAAGAAAAAUCAAAUCAAAACUUAACAAAUGUUAUCGAUGUAGAAAAUGAUGAUAUACAAACAAUAUAGUUAUAUAUCCAUUACCUCCUGCAAAAGGAGGAAUAGCCAUCAAUACUGAACAUUACUUGUGCCUCGCAGAAGACAAUUUCUUAAAUGAUAUGCUAAAAAUACCAAUGACACUAAGCGGCACGCAAUAGUACAGACGUGGACGAAGGACGUCGAUAUAUUUGAAAAGAUUUUAUUAUAAUUCCUAUAAAUAAAGAGAAAGUAAUUCUGUAAGUUUAAUAUUAAUUUAAACUCAGAACAGAGAAUCUUAAAGGUAGGGAUAUAUCAGAUCAUAAAAUGCCAGAUAUCGGAUAUUGGAUAUUUGGAAAGAACAUGACAUCAUCUGUUAUUUGAUCGGAUAUCCGAUAGAGUAAUUGUCCGGGCGGAUAUUUUCUAAUUUUAUAAUUUCUCCAUUCUUUUUUGAAAAAAAAAGGAGAAAAAGAAAA